GUGUACUGUAGAUAGGGUAAGGUGCAGCGGUCAGUGCACAGUAGGUAGGGUAAGGUGCAGCGGUCAGUGCACAGUAGGUAGGGUAAGGUGCAGCGGUCAGUGCACAGUAGGUAGGGUAAGGUGCAGCGGUCAGUGCACAGUAGGUAGGGUAAGGUGCAGCGGUCAGUGCACAGUAGGUAGGGUAAGGUGCAGCGGUCAGUGCACAGUAGGUAGGGUAAGGUGCAGCGGUCAGUGCACAGUAGGUAGGGUAAGGUGCAGCGGUCAGUGCACAGUAGGUAGGGUAAGGUGCAGCGGUCAG